rnacentral:rRNA from 1 species
AAAAACGACUCUCGGCAAYGGAUAUCUCGGCUCUUGCAUCGAUGAAGAACGUAGCGAAAUGCGAUACUUGGUGUGAAUUGCAGAAUCCCGUGAACCAUCGAGUCUUUGAACGCAAGUUGCGCCCAAAGCCAUUUGGUUGAGGGCACGCCUGCCUGGGUGUCGUG